rnacentral:rRNA from 1 species
UGUCUUUUAGUUAAUUUUUUAAAGUCUGGUCUGCUCACUGAGGAAUUAAAGAGCCGCAGUAUUUUGACUGUGCAAAGGUAGCAUAAUCAAUAGUUUUUUAAUUGAAAACUUGUAUGAAAGAUUUGAUGAGAAAAUAGUUUUCUAAGUUUUAAUUAUUGAAUUUAAAAUUUAAGUGAAAAUUCUUAAGUGUUUUAAAAAGACGAGAAGACCCUAUAGAUUUUUAUUAACUGUAGAUUUAAUAAAAGUAAUUUUUUAGUUAAUUUAAUUGGGGUGAUGUUGUAAAAUAAUAAACUUAAUUUUUAAAAACCAAUAAUUAGUGAAUAUGAAGAUUUAAAAUUUUUAGAAAAAGAUUAAAUUACCUUAGGGAUAACAGCGUAAUUUUAUUAACGAGUUCAUAUCUAUAAUAAAGCUUGCGACCUCGAUGUUGAAUUAAGAUAAAAUAUUGGAGCAGAAAUUAGUAUUUUUAGUCUGUUCGACUAUUAAAUUC